rnacentral:rRNA from 1 species
UGAGCAACCUGCCCUUGACACUGGAAUAACAGUUGGAAACAGCUGCUAAUACCGGGUAUGACCUGUCACCGCAUGGUGGUGGGUGGAAAGCCCUGGCGGUCAAGGAUGGGCUCGCGGCCUAUCAGCUAGUUGGUGAGGUAAUGGCUCACCAAGGCGACGACGGGUAGCCGGCCUGAGGAGGGUGACCGGCCACACGUGGGACUGAGACACGGCCCAGACCUCCGUACGGGAGCAG